GAUGAAGAACGUAGCGAAAUGCGAUACUUGGUGUGAAUUGCAGAAUCCCGUGAACCAUCGAGUCUUUGAACGCAAGUUGCGCCCGAAGCCACUAGGCCGAGGGCACGCCUUCCUGGGCGUCACACGUCGUUGCCCCCCCAUCUACUCCUUCGGGAUUGCGGGGGGGCGGAUGAUGGCCUCCCGUGCGCCUAGCCGCGCGGUUGGCAUAAAUACCAAGUCCUCGGCGACGCACGCCACGACAAUCGGUGGUUGCGAAACCUCGGUUGCCCGUCGUGUGCGUUCGUCGCGCAUCGAGGGCUCGAAAAAAUGCUCGGCUCCGGCUGGGCUUUCAACGCGACCCCAGGUCAGGCGGGGUUACCCGCUGAAUUUAAGCAUAUCAAUAAGCGGAGGA
rnacentral:misc_RNA from 1 species